rnacentral:rRNA from 1 species
ACAUGUCCGCAUGAUUAAAGGUAUUUUCCGGUAGACGAUGGGGAUGCGUUCCAUUAGAUAGUAGGCGGGGUAACGGCCCACCUAGUCAACGAUGGAUAGGGGUUCUGAGAGGAAGGUCCCCCACAUUGGAACUGAGACACGGUCCAAACUCCUACGGGAGGCAGCAGUGAGGAAUAUUGGUCAAUGGGCGAUGGCCUGAACCAGCCAAGUAGCGUGAAGGAUGACUGCCCUAUGGGUUGUAAACUUCUUUUAUAAAGGAAUAAAGUCGGGUAUGCAUACCCGUUUGUAUGUACUUUAUGAAUAAGGAUCGGCUAACUCCGUGCCAGCAGCCGCGGUAAUACGGAGGAUCCGAGCGUUAUCCGGAUUUAUUGGGUUUAAAGGGAGCGUAGAUGGAUGUUUAAGUCAGUUGUGAAAGUUUGCGGCUCAACCGUAAAAUUGCAGUUGAUACUGGAUGUCUUGAGUGCAGUUGAGGCAGGCGGAAUUCGUGGUGUAGCGGUGAAAUGCUUAGAUAUCACGAAGAACUCCGAUUGCGAAGGCAGCCUGCUAAGCUGCAACUGACAUUGAGGCUCGAAAGUGUGGGUAUCAAACAGGAUUAGAUACCCUGGUAGUCCACACGGUAAACGAUGAAUACUCGCUGUUUGCGAUAUACGGCAAGCGGCC